AAAGGCUCUCUCUUCAGUUAAUGACUCACAAGUUUCGGUUUUCAUUUCAUUUCUUAUUAUGGUCUCAGAGCAAUAACUGCUCAUUUGCAUUUGAGAUCUGAAUCUGUUUUUCAGUUUUUGUUCAAUUUUCCCUCAUUUUCUAUUUGUUUCUCAUCCGUUUCUUGAUCAAGAUUGUUAAUCAAAGUUCGUGGCAACUGAAUCUACUUCUCUAUCUGCAAAAUCAAGCUCCGGAUCAUUUGACAAAUUCAUCUAAUCCAUAUUUUCUGCAUCCAAGUGAGAAACUAGCCUCGAUUCUCGUAUCUCCAGUUUUUACUGGCCCCCAUUGCCAUUCAUGUGCAAGAGCUAUGACGAUGGCAUUGCAAUCCAAGGAUAAAUUGAAGUUCAUUGACAAAUCUCUAGAGAUGCCAACAAGCACUAAUCCUUUGUUUUCUUCUUGAGAAAGGUAUUUUAGAUCUGCAAGAAGAGAUUUACAGUUUCAAACAAGGUGAUUUACUUGUCACUGAUUACUUCACUCCAUUGAAGAUCUUGUGAGAUGAAUUGGAUAAUUUUAGGCCAAUACUUCAGUGCUCAUGUCCUGUUCAAUGUAAAUGUGAUGCACUUAUAGUUUUUCUUCUCCAGGAGCAGAUAACAAAAGAUGUGAUACUCAGAAUAUACCAAAGUCUGCACCUACUGUGGUAAGCCACAUCACACUGAAGAAAUUUGCUAUAAGAAACAUGGAUUUCCACCUAGUUUUAUGUUUAGAAAUUCUUCUGGUGUAACCAUCAGUAAUGUCUAUUUUGACUCCAUUAAAAAUUGUGACAAAUAUGCUAGUCCUGAUAGAUCAUAAGAAGAACAUGAGAACACAUGCUUUGUUUUAGCUCCAUAAUAGUGUCAACGUUUACUGGCCCUGAUCCGACCAUCUAAUUCUAAUCAAGGCUAUGUUUGUUUUGAUGGAAAA